rnacentral:rRNA from 1 species
UACAGAGGGUGCGAGCGUUAAUCGGAAUUACUGGGCGUAAAGCGUGCGCAGGCGGUUUUGUAAGCCAGAUGUGAAAUCCCCGGGCUCAACCUGGGAAUGGCAUUUGGGACUGCAAGGCUGGAGUGCGGCAGAGGAGACUGGAAUUCCUGGUGUAGCAGUGAAAUGCGUAGAUAUCAGGAGGAAUACCGAUGGCGAAGGCAGGUCUCUGGGCUGACACUGACGCUCAUGCACGAAAGCGUGGGGAGCAACAGG